rnacentral:rRNA from 1 species
UACGGAGGAUGCAAGCGUUAUCCGGAAUCAUUGGGCGUAAAGAGCGUGUAGGCGGCCCGGUAAGUCCGCUGUGAAAGUCGGGGGCUCAACCCUCGAAUGCCGGUGGAUACUGUCGGGCUAGAGUGCGGAAGAGGCGAGUGGAAUUCCUGGUGUAGCGGUGAAAUGCGCAGAUAUCAGGAGGAACACCAAUUGCGAAGGCAGCUCGCUGGGACGUAACUGACGCUGAGACGCGAAAGCGUGGGGAGCAAACAGG